GAUCUCCCCACGCGACCACUCUUGCCCCCACCCCUUCCACUCGUCUUCCUCUUAUCCACGGAUGACCGUCGCCCAAAUUUCUCGGCGAUGGCGGGGAGAUGCGGCGCAUCCAGGUGAUAGGGGUUGGGCCGCACGGGCUCGUUGAGAUCGUGAACGACCAGCCUGCUCCGUCAGGUCGUGGACGGCGAGGCUGGGCAGGGAAGAGGAGCAAGCCAGGAGGUCGCUGAUGAGGUUCGCCGGUCAGACAGGUGCAAGGGCGCCGAUUUCCCUCCUCGUGUUCCCGGACGACGCGCAAGCCAUCCUUCCCUUUCUUCCGUGCGGCUCUACCCUGUCCUGACUUCUCCUCGCCGCGCCGCCGUCCGCUCGACCACAGCUCGCCCCCGUCCACAAAGGAGACAAGUAGCAGCAGCGCCCCAAAUCGAGGGAGGGAGGAUCCUCUCAGUCAACUAACAAAUGGAUGGUAAGACCAGGAGAAUAUAACUGAAGAAAUCUAUAGCAUUUUAACUGAAGGACAAACUGACUUAUCUUCAGUUAAGUGGCAUAUUAACUUUUCAUCAGUGAGGUCAAAAAAGCAAGAUUUAGAUGAUAUUUCGCAACAAUGUCAAUGUUAGAUUCUGAUUCACCAACAGUGCUCUUUAAGUUACAAAGGAUUUGAAUUGAGCGAUUCAACUCUGCCUUCAUCAGUACAAACAAUUCAUAAAAGAGAUGAAUUGGACUAAUCUACUCAGCAUCUCAUGACUUUAGAAGCACGAGUUCAUGAAAACUGAUAUCCACUAGGAUUGCUCUGCUCCUGUUGACAUGCGAGAGCUGUUUGAAGCGAACUGGAUGGUUGUCACCACUAAUUAAGCUGCCGAGCCCAAGAAUUGUGUCAGACUAUUGGUCAAGCUGUUCAAUUUCUCAACACCGUUCAGUUUUGUCAUUGGCCGCCCUUGCGUACACUCAACAGAGAAGGGUAUCUAUCCUCAAUUUCCUACUCUAGAUAACAUCUACUCAUAUAAUUGAUCUCUAAUAUCCUGUAUAAAACGUUAGUGGUGGCUCGACAAUUUAAUAAGCCAGAUUUGUGGGAAGUGGAAUGCAUGUGUAACCAAACUGGGCUGGACCAAUCUUGAGGUUUUCCACGAAUUCUUUUAAAAAUGGUCCUUAAGCAAGGCACUGGGAAAUCGUGGAUAGCUGAUAUAUCCAGCAGGUAUGUGCACAUUCUGCUAUAAUCUAGAGUAGGGAGUGCUCAGCAUAAAUUGUGAGAUCUGAGCUGGUACAUAAAAUAAACCAAGAUAGUCUUGUCUUACGUGCGGAUGAUUUUAUUAUGGCAUACUGUUCAGCAUAAUUCUGACUCUAGAAUGUCUAUAUUAGCCAUUUGAUGAGUCAACUAGAAACUUCAUAGGUUUUUAGUACUCCAGUUAUGUUGUCAUUUGUAUAUCUCCAGAUAUAAACUUCAUAAAUUUAUAUCGUGAAUCAUUUUUAUGCUGCUACAUUUCUAGCAGAAGUUGUA